rnacentral:rRNA from 1 species
GACGGGGGGGGCAAGUGUUCUUCGGAAUGACUGGGCGUAAAGGGCACGUAGGCGGUGAAUCGGGUUGAAAGUGAAAGUCGCCAAAAAGUGGCGGAAUGCUCUCGAAACCAAUUCACUUGAGUGAGACAGAGGAGAGUGGAAUUUCGUGUGUAGGGGUGAAAUCCGUAAAUAUACGAAGGAACGCCAAAAGCGAAGGCAGCUCUCUGGGUCCCGACCGACGCUGGGGUGCGAAAGCAUGGGGAGCGAACAGG